AAGGAUCAUUAUUGAUUGUAAACUGUUGCCUUCUGUGCUGGCUCCUGCAAGUGCACGUCGGUGACUUUCAUUCCAUUCCAAUACCCUUGUGAACCUUUGGCCUCUUGCUAGCUUCGGCUGGCAGAGGAUUCUACAUACAACUCGAAUGUAAUGAAACUCUUGUUGUGCACAAGCACUACUAUACAACUUUCAACAACGGAUCUCUUGGUUCUG
rnacentral:misc_RNA from 1 species